GACGAACGCUGGCGGCGUGCUUAACACAUGCAAGUCGAACGGAAAGGCCCUGCUUUUGUGGGGUGCUCGAGUGGCGAACGGGUGAGUAACACGUGAGUAACCUGCCCUUGACUUUGGGAUAACUUCAGGAAACUGGGGCUAAUACCGGAUAGGAGCUCCUGCUGCAUGGUGGGGGUUGGAAAGUUUCGGCGGUUGGGGAUGGACUCGCGGCUUAUCAGCUUGUUGGUGGGGUAGUGGCUUACCAAGGCUUUGACGGGUAGCCGGCCUGAGAGGGUGACCGGCGCGAUCGGGUGUGAGAGCCGCCCCGGACGCGUGGGGGAGGCGGGAGGGGGAAAAAUGGCCCAGCGGGGGGAAGCGCGGUGGCGCCAGGACGCGGGGGGGGUGAGGGCCGUGGGGUUGUCACCCGCGGCAGCGUGAGACGAGGCGUGAGUGAGGGUAAGGGGUAAAGAACCACCGGAGAACCACGCGCCAGCAGCCGCGUAAGAGGAAAGCGCACACGUUUCACC
rnacentral:rRNA from 1 species